GUAGUUUUGAUAAUCUGUUUCCUCGUAUGAAUCAUAUUCAUAAAUAUGAUACAAGUUUUUCACAUCUGUAUCAUAUAUCUUUCUGUAGGACAAAUAUCAGGAAACUUUCAGCUAUUUUUCAAGCUCCGAAGUUUUUUAAUACUCUUGAUGGUGAUAUUUCGGUCCAACGUCAAUUCGUCGCAUUCAAACUCGACGAACUCGCGUGGUUGAACCGGACGGAUGAUGGAUUGAUGAUAAACUUUAUUUAACCACGCUAACAUUGUCAGCUACAGCUGGUUUCCACAAUGAGCG